GAGCACCAAAGAAGUCGAGAUUCAGAGAUCGGGCAAAAUUGUCCCUUUUUGAAGUCUUUACUCCAUUCUCGUUACACGACAACGAGCAAAGAGGGGUAGUUGUAAAUGACCCAAUUUUCCCGGGCCCAUCCAGCAAUAAACAAAAAAAAACCAAAUAAAAAACAAAAUCUCAGUCCAUUUACAAAGUCCAGCAGGCCUGUAUGACCCAAAACCAAUAAACAGUUCAAACCCAACUAAACCUAAACCCUAGCCCAACAAAACAGCCCAAAACACUUUCAGAAAAAGAAAACAAAAAAAAAAGCCCUAAGCUGCCGCGCGCUUGACAACAGCCUCCAACUACUGCCGCCUCCCCCGCGUGUCCCGCCACGUCUUUGUACCUGCAAAACAAACUAGAAGAGUCCAAAAGCAAAAAAACAGUGUAAAAAUAGAAAAAAAAACCAGGAAAAUAAGUGGUAUUUUCG
rnacentral:lncRNA from 1 species